ensembl:snRNA U6 U6 spliceosomal RNA
GUGUUUCUUUGGCAGCACAUAUACUAAAAUUAGAAUGAUACAGAGAAGAUUAGCAUGGCCCCUGUGCAAGGAUGACAUGCAAAUUUGUGAAGCAUUCCAUAUUUUU